rnacentral:ncRNA from 1 species
GUGUUGGGAACGCAAUGUUCUCAGCCUAUUCUCAAACUUCGAAUGGGUAAGCAAGGCGUUUUGCUUUGAUUUUACGAUGAAAUCGCCCAAUUAGAAUGUAUAAAUGCCUAGUGGGCCAAUUUUGGUAAGCAGAACUGGCGAUGUGGAAUGAACCAAAAGUCAGGUUAAGGUGCCAGACAUUGGCGCUCAUGAAAUACCAGAAAAGGUGUUGGUCGAUAUAGACAGCAGGACGGUGGCCAUGGAAGUUGGAAUCCGCCAAGGAGUGUGUAACAACUCACCUGCCGAAUCGACUAGCCCUGAAAAUGGAUAGCGUUUGAGCUCCAGGCCCAUACCUGACCGUCUCAAUUACGCACUUUUUUUUCGGAAAAGGUGUAAUGAACGUUGAGACGGGUAGGAAGGUCGCGACAGUGUUGCUUUGAAGAGUUUUGAGCGUGAGCUCGCUCGGAGCCGCUGUUGGUGCAGAUCUUGGUGGUAGUAGCAAAUAUUCAAGUGAGAACCUUGAAGGCUGAAGUGGAGCAAGG